UCUGAAGGUAAAAAGAGCUUGUCAAAAGUUCGAGAACUUGAAAAUGAGCUUUUGAAAUGUAAGCAGACAAUUAAUAGGAUUAGUGAAAGUUCAGAGAAGGCCACAGUAAGCCUGAAACAGGAUAUUUCAUCUCUUCAGAGGGAUAAGCAAACAGCUGACCAGAAGUUACAGGUUUUAAAAUGUGAAUUUGAUGAUCUUAGUUCCACUCUAAAAAGAACAAAAGAUGAGCUACAGCGAGUGACUGAUGAAAACAGGUUAAGUCAGUCCAAACUCAAAGAGCUGGAGGCAGAACUCCAAAGGAAAAGUUCUGUUAUGCGAGAAAUUAGCUCAAGCACAGAUAAAUCUGUCCUGAAUUUAAAACAAGAGUUAGUCACUUUUCAGAAGGACAGGAAUGCUGCAGAAGACAAAAUCACAAGUUUAACUCUGCAAACAUCAGAGCUGAAGCAGAAGUUGAGACAAACCCAGGAAGAGCUUAAACAGAAGCAAAAUCAAACAGCAGCUGCUGAGUUGAGAUCACAGAAACUCGGUGAACAAUUGGACAACUGUAAAAAGAUGCUUGACGAUCUCAAAGGCAAACUCGACUUACAAAAGAAAGGCUACGAGACACAACUGCAGCUAGUGCAGGCUGAAAUGGAGCAAAAGCUUUCGCUGCAGGAAUCAUGCUUAAAGUUGGAGCACGAGAGGAAAUUAAAGGAGAGCUUGCAUACGGUGGAAACUGCUGAGAGAGACAAAAAGCACCUGUCUCAAGAAGUGGAGAAGCUGAAAACAUUAACUUCUAAUGCAACAAAAGCUAAACAAGAGGCUGAAGAGCAACUCUGCAACGUACGCACACAGUUGGAUGAAUCUGUCAGGCAGAGGGGGAUACUUGACCUUGAACUUCUCAAAGCAAAAUCAAAGAUUUCUGAGUUAGAAACUGAAAAAAUCAGAGUGAAAUCCAGUAUUUUUCAACUUGACAAUAUUCACAAAGACAGCGCAAAUGAAAUAUCAAGGUUAAAGCAUAUGUUGAAAGAGACUGAGCAGAAAUUGGACAUCACAGAAAGGGAAGCGAGAUCUCUAAAGGAACAGAUUGUUUCAUACAUCAGUGAAAUGAAGUCUCUACAGGAGAAGAAUCUGAAGCUUGAGGUAGCAGUCAGUUCUGAGAAGAAGCAUCUAAAAGAAUUGGAGGCACUCAGACAUGCCAGUCAUCAGUGUGCUAAAGAUGAAGAGCUGGCAAAGCUAAAGACUGAACUUCAGCUGACUCAGAAAAUUGUUGCAUCAUACAAAGAAGCGAAACAGAACAUGGAGGAGGAACUCAAGAAAAUGAAAAUCUGCUCUGAGGUACGACUUCAAGUGUUUUCACAAUUUUGUAAAACUGUCAUUUCCUGAUGUGUUUUAACAAUGUGCAAAGACAGCUAUAAGUAAGGGUGCCCUCACAGUUCAGUUACUCCCCCUCUAUUCUAUUCACACCUGUUUUUUGCGGGUCAGAACCAUGGCAAGCAAAAAAACAUCAAGGCCGCA
ensembl:lncRNA